UGUCAAUGGCCUGUCACAAAG
rnacentral:piRNA from 1 species